rnacentral:rRNA from 1 species
UUUGGCGGGCCGUCCCCUUUUUACCGGAGCGGGCUGAUCCGCCGAGGCAACAAGUGGUAUGUUCACAGGGGUUUGGGAGUUGAAACUCGUAAGAUUUCCGUAGGGUGAACCUGCGGAGGGAUCAUUACCGAGUUUACAACUCCCAAACCCCUGUGAACAUACCACUUGUUGCCUCGGCGGAUCAGCCCGCUCCCGGUAAAACGGGACGGCCCGCCAGAGGACCCCUAAACUCUGUUUCUAUAUGUAACUUCUGAGUAAAACCAUAAAUAAAUCAAAACUUUCAACAACGGAUCUCUUGGUUCUGGCAUCGAUGAAGAACGCAGCAAAAUGCGAUAAGUAAUGUGAAUUGCAGAAUUCAGUGAAUCAUCGAAUCUUUGAACGCACAUUGCGCCCGCCAGUAUUCUGGCGGGCAUGCCUGUUCGAGCGUCAUUUCAACCCUCAAGCACAGCUUGGUGUUGGGACUCGCGUUAAUUCGCGUUCCUCAAAUUGAUUGGCGGUCACGUCGAGCUUCCAUAGCGUAGUAGUAAAACCCUCGUUACUGGUAAUCGUCGCGGCCACGCCGUUAAACCCCAACUUCUGAAUGUUGACCUCGAUCAUUGGAUCAGGUGUGUUUUGAGAGUAAAAGGCAAAU